AUUGAACGCUGGCGGCAUGCCUUACACAUGCAAGUCGAACGGCAGCACGGGAGCAAUCCUGGUGGCGAGUGGCGAACGGGUGAGUAAAGUAUCGGAACGUGCCCAGUCGUGGGGGAUAACGUAGCGAAAGUUACGCUAAUACCGCAUACGAUCUAUGGAUGAAAGCGGGGGAUCGCAAGACCUCGCGCGAUUGGAGCGGCCGAUAUCAGAUUAGGUAGUUGGUGGGGUAAAGGCUCACCAAGCCGACGAUCUGUAGCUGGUCUGAGAGGACGACCAGGCAGACUGGGACUGAGACACGGCCCAGACUCCUACGGGAGGCAGCAGUGGGGAAUUUUGGGCAAUGGGCGAAAGCCUGAUCAGCCAUGCCGCGUGCAGGAUGAAGGCCUUCGGGUUGUAAACUGCUUUUGUACGGAACGAAAAGGUUUGGCCUAAUAAGCUGAGCUCAUGACGGUACCGUAAGAAUAAGCACCGGCUAACUACGUGCCAGCCGCCGCGGUAA
rnacentral:rRNA from 1 species